rnacentral:pre_miRNA from 1 species
CCUUAUGCAUGAGCAAAGAAAGUGGUUUCUUGAGAUGGAAUCUGCUCCUGGUGAAGACGCUGGGAA